GUGCAGCAGGCGCGAAGAUUCCGCAAUGCCCGAAAGGGCGACGGAGUGAACCCGAGUGCCACCCGCUGAGGGUGGCUGUUCCCCUGUGUAAAAAGCAGGGGGCAGGAAGGGGAGGGCAAGGCUGGUGGCAGCCGCCGCGGUAAAACCAGCUCCCCGAGGGGUUCCCACGCAUACUGGGCCUAAAGCGUCCGUAGCCGGCCCUGUAAGUCUGCAGUUAAAUCCGCCUGUAGACAGGCGGGUUGCUGCAGAUACUGCAGGGCUAGGGAGCGGGAGGAGCCGGGGGUAUUCCCGGGGGAGCGGUAAAAUGCGUAGAUCCCGGGAGGACCACCAGUGGCGAAGGCGCCCGGCUUGAACGCGUCCGACGGUGAGGGACGAAAGCUGGGGGAGCAAACCGGAUUAGAUACCCGGGUAGUCCCAGCCGUAAACGAUGCCGGCUAGGUGCUGGCCAAGGUUUCGGCCUUGGCCAGUGUCGAAGCGAAGGCAUUAAGCCGGCCGCCUGAGGAGUACGGCCGCAAGGCUGAAACUUGAAGGAAUUGGCGGGGGAGCAC
rnacentral:rRNA from 1 species